rnacentral:misc_RNA from 1 species
GACAGGCCACAUUUCAGCAUGCA